rnacentral:rRNA from 1 species
AUUGAACGCUGGCGGAAUGCCUUACACAUGCAAGUCGAACGGCAGCACGGGGGCAGCCCUGGUGGCGAGUGGCGAACGGGUGAGUAAUACAUCGGAACGUGCCCGGUCGUGGGGGAUAACGUAGCGAAAGUUACGCUAAUACCGCAUACGAUCUGAGGAUGAAAGCGGGGGACCUUCGGGCCUCGCGCGAUCGGAGCGGCCGAUGUCAGAUUAGGUAGUUGGUGGGGUAAAGGCCUACCAAGCCGACGAUCUGUAGCUGGUCUGAGAGGACGACCAGCCACACUGGGACUGAGACACGGCCCAGACUCCUACGGGAGGCAGCAGUGGGGAAUUUUGGACAAUGGGCGCAAGCCUGAUCCAGCCAUUCCGCGUGCAGGACGAAGGCCUUCGGGUUGUAAACUGCUUUUGUACGGAACGAAAAGGCUCUGGCUAAUACCUGGGGCUCAUGACGGUACCGUAAGAAUAAGCACCGGCUAACUACGUG